rnacentral:rRNA from 1 species
GCGCUGCAUUAGCUAGUUGGUAAGGUAACGGCUUACCAAGGCAACGAUGCAUAGCCGACCUGAGAGGGUGAUCGGCCACACUGGAACUGAGACACGGUCCAGACUCCUACGGGAGGCAGCAGUAGGGAAUCUUCCGCAAUGGGCGAAAGCCUGACGGAGCAACGCCGCGUGAGUGAUGAAGGUCUUCGGAUCGUAAAACUCUGUUAUUAGGGAAGAACAUAUGUGUAAGUAACUGUGCACAUCUUGACGGUACCUAAUCAGAAAGCCACGGCUAACUACGUGCCAGCAGCCGCGGUAAUACGUAGGUGGCAAGCGUUAUCCGGAAUUAUUGGGCGUAAAGCGCGCGUAGGCGGUUUUUUAAGUCUGAUGUGAAAGCCCACGGCUCAACCGUGGAGGGUCAUUGGAAACUGGAAAACUUGAGUGCAGAAGAGGAAAGUGGAAUUCCAUGUGUAGCGGUGAAAUGCGCAGAGAUAUGGAGGAACA